UUUACCCUGUCACCUUACUAAAGCACUUUUCACCUCUCUCCUUACUGCCUCCUCUGCCCCACUGUCAGGUAGGGGGGACAUCAUGUCCCUACAGCUUCCCCUGUCUAGCCAGCUGACUCUCCUUGAUAUCUACAGGGCCAUGGUGAUGCAGGUGAAGAUUCAAGUGAAUGCAUUGGCUCAAACCAUCAUACGUUGGCCACAUAAAGCGCGAAGCAUCCAUCUGCAAGGACCAUGUUGAAAUAAACAUGGACAUUCAGGAUAUCUUAUCUACAAACUUCCAGUUCCUGAAAGAAAACAUCUACACCAAUCUAGCUAGACCUUCCUCAUGGAUGGAUACUCACGAUUGCAGUAGAUGUCCUGCUCUCGCUCCCGAACUGAGUUGGAAUCAAGACAUUUA